GAGGUGGUCGCAUUCAUCGUUCAUACAAUUUUAAGAUUGUUUCAAUGAAAGUGAAGUUCAGAUUGAAAUAGAUGCCGAUUGAAGUAAAAUUUUUGAUAAAAUUAUGAUAAGGCCGUAAACUUUAAAUACCACCCUUACGAUUUUUCACUUUUUUAAUUUAAUAUUCUGGAGUUUAAAGUGCAUUGCUUUAGUAUCUCGUGGUCUUAUCUUUCUCUUUCCAUCAGAUUAUAUACAAAAAACUUCAGAUACUCAACCUAUGAUUUAUUGAAUAUUAACUUUAAUUAGUACCCUAUAUAUAGUUUAUUGAAUUUUUUUUUCUUUAGUACUCUGUGGUUUUAACUUUAUCACUGAUAUAACAAAAGAAUUACCGACCGUCCCUAGAGCAAGUGGCAAAAGGCUUGAUGGUUGGUACCCGAGACCCAAGUUCGAAUCCUAGUUGAUUCACAUUUAUAGCUAAGUUUAUUUCUAAAUAAAAUAAACGAAGCGGGUAGCGUGCUAUCUAUCUCUCAAAAAAAAAAAAAAAAAAAAAAACAAAAGAAUUAACGAAGGUGAUAACGAAAAGAGAAAAAUGAAAACACUGGAUACUAAAAGUAAUACAUUUUAAACCAUAGGUACUAAAGUGAGAAAGCACGAAACCACAUGAAUGGUAUUUUGAAGUUUUCUCUUUAUAAUAAUUCUGCUAUUUAUUACGCAGCAGGGCAAUAAAAGCUAAAGUUUCUCACUUUUUGUAUUAAUUUUAUUAAAAAUUAUUAAAUUUUUUUCACACAUUAAUUAAUAUAA
rnacentral:lncRNA from 1 species